AAAUGUGUUUGGGUGUGCUAACAUUGCCAUGAGCAAAAAGAUACUGCAAGUUACUGCAGGUUAAAUAUGUGAUCAACAGGUGUCUUUAUACUAUACAGGAGGCAUUUCCUCAUAUUUAGUGUGUGCUAAAACUUAGACACUAAAAUACUUGGUUUUCCUGCCAAGACAAAAGCUGAGAUCAGUUUGUUACUCCUACUCAGUUCAUGAAUUCAGACAAAUGCUGAGCGACUCUGAGUGACCGCAAGAGACACAAUGGCAUCAAGAUAUACAGAUGACAUUGCAAAGAACCUGGACCACCUUUCAUUGAAUGGAGGUGUAGGUGAAAGAAAUGCAAACAUUCAGACAACAGGUGAUGAUGAUGAUGAUGAUGAUGAUGAAGAUGAUGAUGAAGAAGAUGAUGAUGAUGAAGAUGAUGAAGAA